rnacentral:rRNA from 1 species
GAUGAACGCUAGCGGCAGGCUUAAUACAUGCAAGUCGUGGGGCAGCAUGAGUGUAGCAAUACAUUUGAUGGCGACCGGCAAACGGGUGCGGAACACGUACACAACCUUCCUUCAAGUGGGGAAUAGCCCAGGGAAACUUGGAUUAAUACCCCGUAAUAUUAUGGAGUGGCAUCACUUUAUAAUUAUAGCUCCGGCGCUUGAUGAUGGGUGUGCGCCNGAUUAGGUAGUUGGCGGGGUAACGGCCCACCAAGCCUUCGAUCAGUAACUGGUGUGAGAGCACGACCAGUCACACGGGCACUGAGACACGGGCCCGACUCCUACGGGAGGCAGCAGUAAGGAAUAUUGGUCAAUGGACGCAAGUCUGAACCAGCCAUGCCGCGUGAAGGAUGAAGGCCCCUCUGGGUUGUAAACUUCUUUUAUCUGGGAAGAAAUCUACUUUUUCUAAGUGGUUGACGGUACCAGAGGAAUAA